GGUCCCGCACCAUGUGAUGGUGGGACCACCACAUUAAUUAGUAAGAGACAGCAAGGCAAGGCUGUCUCUUUGAAUUAAUAGAGGAGCUGCCACUGUAGAGGCAGUAGCAAAAACGGGAGAAAAACAAGAGAAAAGAGAAGAAGAGGCAGCAGAGCAGCCUGUGUUCGUUCUUCGAUUUCCAGCUCGUUCACCGUUGGAUCGGGCUGAGAUUUUGACAGCAGCUUCUAGACACAUUCCUCUUCAUUCUGGACGGUUGGAUCGAAGAUUGGUGGUGUGGAAGCUGGCCGUUUUGACAGAAAACGGGGCUGUCAGUUUUAGGGAAAAAGGAUUGGGACUUGUGAAUUGUGAAUGUAUUCCGCUUAAUUGAUCCGGUUA